rnacentral:tRNA from 1 species
GAAAUAUUAUAAAAUUUUGAACUUCUAAUUCAAAAACUAAAUAAUUUAAUUUAUUUAUAUUUCU